rnacentral:rRNA from 3 species
CAAAAACAUCGCCUCUUGAAACACAAAACAUAAGAGGUCCCGCCUGCCCAGUGACUUUAAGUUUAACGGCCGCGGUAUUUUGACCGUGCAAAGGUAGCGCAAUCACUUGUCCUUUAAAUGAAGACCUGUAUGAAUGGCACCACGAGGGCUCAACUGUCUCCUUUCUCCUGUCAAUGAAAUUGAUCUCCCCGUGCAGAAGCGGGGAUAAAACCAUAAGACGAGAAGACCCUAUGGAGCUUUAGGCACCAGAACAGACUAUGUUAAGCACCCUAAACACAAAAGACAAAACUAACUAGACCCUAUUCCAAUGCCUUUGGUUGGGGCGACCGCGGGGAAAUAAAAAACCCCCAUGUGGACCAAGAGCACAUCACUCUUACAACCCAGGGCUACAACCCUAAGUAACAGAACUUUCUGACCAGAAUGAUCCGGUAAAACCGAUCAACGAACCGAGUUACCCUAGGGAUAACAGCGCAAUCCCCUUCUAGAGCCCAUAUCGACAAGGGGGUUUACGACCUCGAUGUUGGAUCAGGACAUCCUACUGGUGCAGCCGCUAUUAAGGGUUCGUUUGUUCAACGAUUAAAGUCCUACGUGA